AGAAUGUCCAGUGUGAUGUCAGUGGCCUCCUGUGGGGUAUCUGUGCGGGCUUUCCUCUGCUGUGUCCUCUUGCAGGCUUAUGUCUGGUGUGCUUAUAUUUGCCAAGCUGGUCCCUCAUUGCAGGGUCCCCUCAGCUCCCUUGGUGUGACUAAUCCCCUCUGUUCCCCCUCAGGCCUGCUCUGGCUGGUCAUUAGAUGAUUCCACAGUGCUGUGGGCACUCAGGGCUGUCAGCUGCCCGGUAGACUCCCCCCCCGAAAAGUCCUCGGGCCCCUCGUCCCCUGCACCUCCCCAGCUUCUGCAGUUCCUCGUUGGAGCUCCAGCCCCAUUAGGCCUCAC